CCUACGGGGGGCAGCAGUAGGGAAUCUUCCGCAAUGGACGAAAGUCUGACGGAGCAACGCCGCGUGAGUGAUGAAGGUUUUCGGAUCGUAAAACUCUGUUGUUAGGGAAGAACAAGUACCGUUCGAAUAGGGCGGCACCUUGACGGUACCUAACCAGAAAGCCACGGCUAACUACGUGCCAGCAGCCGCGGUAAUACGUAGGUGGCAAGCGUUGUCCGGAAUUAUUGGGCGUAAAGCGCGCGCAGGCGGUUUCUUAAGUCUGAUGUGAAAGCCCCCGGCUCAACCGGGGAGGGUCAUUGGAAACUGGGGAACUUGAGUGCAGAAGAGGAGAGUGGAAUUCCACGUGUAGCGGUGAAAUGCGUAGAGAUGUGGAGGAACACCAGUGGCGAAGGCGACUCUCUGGUCUGUAACUGACGCUGAGGCGCGAAAGCGUGGGGAGCGAACAGGAUUAGAUACCCCCGUAGUC
rnacentral:rRNA from 1 species